UACGAAGGGGGCUAGCGUUGCUCGGAAUCACUGGGCGUAAAGCGCACGUAGGCGGCUUUCUAAGUCAGGGGUGAAAUCCUGGAGCUCAACUCCAGAACUGCCUUUGAUACUGGAGAGCUCGAGUCCGGAAGAGGUGAGUGGAACUCCGAGUGUAGAGGUGAAAUGUGUAGAGAUCGGGAGGAACACCGGUGGCGAAGGCGGGUCUCUGGGCAUCUCCUGACGCUGAGGCGCGAAAGCGUGGGGAGCAAACGGG
rnacentral:rRNA from 1 species